rnacentral:rRNA from 1 species
GAUGAACGCUGGCGGCGUGCCUAAUACAUGCAAGUCGAGCGAACGGACGAGAAGCUUGCUUCUCUGAUGUUAGCGGCGGACGGGUGAGUAACACGUGGAUAACCUACCUAUAAGACUGGGAUAACUUCGGGAAACCGGAGCUAAUACCGGAUAAUAUUUUGAACCGCAUGGUUCAAAAGUGAAAGACGGUCUUGCUGUCACUUAUAGAUGGAUCCGCGCUGCAUUAGCUAGUUGGUAAGGUAACGGCCUACCAAGGCAACGAUGCAUUGCCGACCUGAGAGGGGGGUAGCCCACCCUGGAACGUAGACACGGUCCUGACUCCUACGGGACGCCGCAGUAGGGAAUGUUCCGCAAUGGGCGAAAGCCUGACGGAGCAACGCCGCGUGAGUGAUGACGGUCUUCGGAUCGUAAAACUCUGUUACUAGUGAAGAACAUAUUUGGAAGUAACUGUGCACAUCUUGACGGUACCUAAUCAGAAAGCCCCGGCUAACUACGUG